rnacentral:rRNA from 1 species
CGUGGCCAACCUGCCCUUGGGACGGAAACACCCCCGGGAAACUGGGGCUAAUUUCCGAUAGGUGAAGACUCCUGGAAUGGAUUUUCGCCUAAAGGGCGCUUAGGGCAUGCUUCUAGGCGUUGCCCAAGGAUGGGGCCGCGGCCGAUCAGGUUGUUGGUGAGGUAAUGGCUCACCAAGCCUUUAACCGGUACGGGCCGUGGGAGCGGUAGCCCGGAGAUGGGCACUGAGACAAGGGCCCAGGCCCUACGGGGCGCAGCAGUCGCGAAAACUUCGCAAUAAGCGAAAGCUUGACGGGGCCAUCCCGAGUGCCAUCUGCUGAGGAUGGCUUUUACCUAGUAUAGAUAGCUGGGGGAAUAAGGAGAGGGCAAGUCUGGUGUCAGCCGCCGCGGUAAUACCAGCUCUCCGAGUUGUAGGGAUGUUUAUUGGGCCUAAAGCAUCCGUAGCCGGCUGGACAAGUCCUCUGUUAAAUCCAGCGACCAAUCGUUGGUCUGCGGGGGAUACUGUCCGGCUAGGGGGCGGGAGAGGCCGUCGGUAUUCCUGGGGUAGGGGUGAAAUCCUAUAAUCCCAGGAGGACCACCAGUGGCGAAGGCUGUCGGCUAGAACGCGCCCGACGGUGAGGGAUGAAAGCUGGGGGAGCGAACCGGAUUAGAUACCCGGGUAGUCCCAGCUGU